rnacentral:tRNA from 1 species
GGGCGCGUAGCUCAGCGGGAGAGCACCCGCCUUACAAGCGGGCGGUCGCUGGUUCGAUCCCAGCCGCGCCCA